rnacentral:rRNA from 1 species
UACGUAGGUGGCAAGCGUUGUCCGGAUUUACUGGGCGUAAAGAGCGCGCAGGCGGUUGAUUAAGUCGAAUGUGAAAGCCCCCGGCUCAACUGGGGAGGGUCAUUCGAUACUGAUCAACUUGAAGGCAGGAGAGGGAAGUGGAAUUCCGGGUGUAGUGGUGAAAUGCGUAGGUAUCCGGAGGAACACCAGUGGCGAAGGCGACUUUCUGGCCUGUUCUUGACGCUGAGGCACGAAGGUCAGGGGAGCAAACGGG